CAGGUAGUAGUUUAAGUAAAAUAUUAAUUUUGGAUAUUAAUGAUAUUAUUAUUAAUUUACCUGA
rnacentral:tRNA from 1 species